CUCCUCCCUCACUCCCGGGUCUGCCGGUCAGCGGAUACAGCACCCCCUCUCCUGCCACCUACACAUGCUGACGCAGCUACUGACUUGAACUUCUGGAUACCAAAGUAUCUGAGAUACUUCUGUAAAGUCUGCAGAGAUGAGGACAAGGUGAAAAUAGCAGGAUGGGGCUUCAAAUGAGCAGUCGGACAGAGCAGGGCUGUGUGCCCCACGACGCAGGCCCUACGAAGGUCAUCCUCUUGAGUACCACAGGAACCUGUGCUUGGACACAUUAAAGAGAUAAUGACAUAG